rnacentral:rRNA from 1 species
GACGAACGCUGGCGGCGUGCCUAAUACAUGCAAGUCGAACGCUUUUUCUUUCACCGGAGCUUGCUCCACCGAAAGAAAAAGAGUGGCGAACGGGUGAGUAACACGUGGGUAACCUGCCCAUCAGAAGGGGAUAACACUUGGAAACAGGUGCUAAUACCGUAUAACACUAUUUUCCGCAUGGAAGAAGGUUGAAAGGCGCUUUUGCGUCACUGAUGGACGGACCCGCGGUGCAUUAGCUAGUUGGUGAGGUAACGGCUCACCAAGGCAACGAUGCAUAGCCGACCUGAGAGGGUGAUCGGCCACACUGGGACUGAGACACGGCCCAGACUCCUACGGGAGGCAGCAGUAGGGAAUCUUCGGCAAUGGACGAAAGUCUGACCGAGCAACGCCGCGUGAGUGAAGAAGGUUUUCGGAUCGUAAAACUCUGUUGUUAGAGAAGAACAAGGAUGAGAGUAAAAUGUUCAUCCCUUGACGGUAUCUAACCAGAAAGCCACGGCUAACUACGUGCCAGCAGCCGCAGUAA